ensembl:lncRNA
UCUAGGUGCAGUUCUAGGUGCAGAUCUAGGUGCAGAUCUAGGUGCAGUUCUAGGUGCAGUUCUAGGUGCAGAUCUAGGUGCAGAUCUAGGUGCAGAUCUAGGUGCAGAUCUAGGUCCAGAUCUAGAUCAAGGUCCCACCCACGCCACAGACGGAGCUCCGCCCGUCGCCACGGCGACCGCUCCCAUCACCACGGCUACAAGCGGUCCCGUUCCCCGACGCCGCCCUCGUCCUCCCCGUCCCGCCGCCGGAGGAGCCCCCGGACGCGGUCCAGGUCCCGCUCUCGGUCCCGGGGGUCCCGGCGGAAGGCAACGCGCUGCCGCCACCACCGCCGCCGCGCCGGGAGUCACCACGAUCACCACGGCGACCCCGGGCGGCGGGGCUCGCCGGCCUGCGACCGCCACCCGCACCUCGCGGGCUGCGACGCCCAGCGCUUCCGCCAGUGGGAGACGGAGUACCUGCAGUGGUACGACAAGUACUUUGGCAACUACACCGGGACGCCCCACCACCUCCAGCCGCCGCCCCUCCUGCCCACGCCCCGCCCCGCCUGCGGCCGCCCGGCGCCCAGCCACCGCCCCGGCCGGCUCCCCGCCAAGAGGAGCCGCUCCCCCCCCCGACGGUCGCCCGACCGCAGCCCCUCCCCGGGCAGCGACGAGGACUCGGGCUCGCUGACCUACCAGCAGAGGUGCUCGGAGAUGUUCGGGCACCAGGCGUCGUACCGGGAGGAGGCCGAGGACAGGGAGCCGGCCCCCCGCGCGCCGGCCUCCAGGGGUCCCGACGACCCGACGCACAAGAAGAAGAAGAGGAGGCGGAGCGAGAGGGAGCGGGCGGACGGGGGCGAGGCGGAGGAGGCCCCGCCUCUGGGCGCCUCCUUCUCCUCCUCGUCCGGUCGCGGCCGCUGGGACGGGGGGAGCAACCACGACAGCCCGGGUACCCCGCUACACAACCCGGGGGUCUGCAGCCGGGCGGAGCCAGGGGACGAGGCCUGGGACCGACCCUACGCUGGGACGCUGAGGGCCGACGGCGGGAGGGAGGGCCUGAGAG